ACUGUAGUAACUUUGACAGUCAUUCACAGGCACAGGUAUGGUGAAAGUAUGGAAUCUCUCUUGUGUUUAUGCCAUUGCUUGCUUUCUCUCUGGCUCAUCACAGGGCUUGCUCGUGCUCAUCUGGGCCUGUUUGUGUGUUGUUGCAUGACCCAUCCCAAUCAGAAGCUGGCUGGACAAGCCAUGGUGGUGGGAGAACUGGGAACUGGCAAUCACAACCCCAAAGCUGCUCCCCUUUUGGCCACCCCUACUGUGUUUGUGUGAGUGUGUCAGUGACCAAUGCUAAGAGCAGGUACAAUAGCAGGCUCUAAGCCAGCUGCAAACAUAUUUUAAGGAGAUAAAUGAGGAGAGAGAGAGGAGAGAAGCGGGCUACAGAUUUAUAGCCAGUUGUAGCACGGACUCCAAG
rnacentral:lncRNA from 1 species